rnacentral:sRNA from 1 species
AACAUCUUUGAUGAUUCACCCUGGGAAGUCACAUUCGCCACUUCCACAGUGCCAUAUGAGUUACACAUGUCAGCCCUAUUCAGGGAUGGUGUCAUCUUUGCAAAAAGACAUGUUAGCAAAGGAUGAGCAAGUUCAACAACUAAAGGAAGAGGUCAGUCACCUAAAAAGUCAGAACAAGGACAAGGACCACCAGCUGGAAGCCCUUGGCUCUAGACGAAAUGGGAAUAACAAAAUCAGUUUUGAGAAGUGAGAGGCUGGUUUUACAUUGUACGCUUGCGCCUCUGUGCCUGGUUAGCCCGCCUCACCAAGCCCUCUGCAUCCAUCCCCCGAGCAGGGUUACCGCCUGGAUUACAUGUGUUGUCACUGUUUCAGGUCUGCCUUCUUCUCCAGGCCGCACCUGGCGUUCAUCAGCACGUGGGCUCCUAGUGACCAAGGGUAUUGCUCAUGUGAACAUCCGAAUGACUGUCUUUGUUUUUCAAAUUACAUGUGCUGUGUUAAUUUUAGAAUAAAAAGUAGAUAAAACUGGAAAGCAAAAUUAAAGAGAGAAGAGAAAUGCCACUGCAA